rnacentral:lncRNA from 14 species
GGACAGCACACCGAGAACAUCGUUCCCUGCCACCGGGAGCAGCCCCAUCCCUUCCCAGCCCCGGUAGCGAUGCGGUGCGCCCCGUCGCCGGCACUUACGUUUGUGCCGCAGGAGAGAUGCGUCCUCGCCUUGUCCUCUCGGCUCCCAAAUGCAUUUGUAUGCAUUUGCCCUGGCAGCGGAGAUCCGAGGGAAAGCCGGAGCCGAGCGCCGCGCAAGACCGCCGCUGAGUCAGAUACGCCUGUGACCUUCUGAUAGAAGGUGUUUUUGAGAAUCAGUGUUCUCCAGUCUUGAAUAGGCCUAAAAUCUUGAAAUGCCUUUGAAAAGCACAAUUGAUUACUUUUUAGAUUAAUCCUGUCUGUUCUAGUUUUCUACUAGCAAACUAAGGAAACAACAUAAGUUUAUAUUCUGAAGAAUUCAGAGUGGGGGGGAUUUUUCUGCCUUACAAGACCAACACACAAAACCUUUUGAGCAGAAGGGGCUGAAGGAGGAAAGGAGAGAUGCUGUGGGUACAGGGGACCAAACUUAAGAGGUCCAGGCUACAGAGCAAAAAGUGGCAUGACGGUCAGGACUGACAAAAAUGCCAAGCCACAAAUGACCAUAUAGACUAUUGAGAUUCCUUAAGAUGCUUAGCUAGAGCAAACAAGGGAAUAUAUCCAGCCAGGAGCAAGAAGCAGAAGAGAGCCUGAAUGAACCACAAGCCAGAGUAGAGGCUCCAGACCACAAAGCUCCAGUGGCUCCAGCUGAGAAAGGUGUCUCGCUGUAGCCAAGAUACUAGCAAUUGUUUGCAUCUUCCAUUCCAGAAUGUUGCUGCUAUAGCAGAGACCCACCUUAAACCAGAGUUAAAGCUCUCAUGCAGAGAGCUGAAACAGGCAACUGAAGCAAAGCCUUCUGGAAGAGCAACCCCACACCCAGCCGCUGAAAAGCUGUGACAUCUUGUUCCAGCAGUGGCACAUCGUACGCCAUACCAAGAAUGCAGAGAAGCCCUGCCAAACACACAAGAAAAUAUUAAAGGAAGAGAGGAGCCUGAGAAGCAGUUAUUAGGAAAAUAAUAAGGGAAUGGAAAAUACGAGAACAAGAAUGAGUGCAAGGUGGGAACCCUGAGAACAGCUUGCCAAAUGAGAAGACUCCAGUUACCAAACAGACCGAACUGCCAAGAAAGAAGCACAGUAACUAUUUCCAUCCCAAACAGGGGCUCUGGAGCUUAAGAGCAACUUGUGAAAGAAAAAAAGAGAGAAGGAGCUAGAGAAAACCC